rnacentral:rRNA from 1 species
CCUGGUUGAUCCUGCCAGUAGUCAUAUGCUUGUCUCGAAGAUUAAGCCAUGCAUGUCUAAGCACAAACUUUUACACAGUGAAGCUGCGAAUGGCUCAUUAGGUCACCCAUGAUUUCUUAGAUCGUACAAUCCUACUUGGAUAACUGUGGUAAUUCUAGAGCUAAUACAUGCAAAUAAGCUCCGACCCCUCGUGGGGAAGAGCGCGUUUAUUAGAUCAAAACCAAUCGGGCUCUCGGGCUCGUACGUUUGGUGACUCUGGAUAACUUUGAGCGGAUCGCACGGGCUUGCCCCGGCGACGUAUCUUUCAAGUGUGUGCCCUAUCAACUUUCGAUGGUACGCGAUAUGCCUACCAUGGUUGUAACGGGUAACGGGGAAUCAGGGUUCGAUUCCGGAGGGGGAGCAUGAGAAACGGCUACCACAUCCAAGGAAGGCAGCAGGCGCGCAAAUUACCCACUCCCGACACGGGGAGGUAGUGACGAAAAAUAACAAUACGGGACUCAUUCGAGGCCCCGUAAUUGGAAUGAGUACACUUUAAAUCCUUUAACGAGGAUCCAUUGGAGGGCAAGUCUGGUGCCAGCAGCCGCGGUAAUUCCAGCUCCAAUAGCGUAUAUUAAAGUUGUUGCAGUUAAAAGCUCGCAGUUGGAUCUCGGGUCCAGGCUCGCGGUUCGCCUCGCGGCGAUCACUGCCCGUCCUGACCUACCUCCCGGUUUUCCCUUGGUGCUCUUCGUUGAGUGCUUCGGGUGGCCGGAACGUUUACUUUGAAAAAAUUAGAGUGCUCAAAGCAGGCGGACUGCCUGAAUAAUCGCGCAUGGAAUAAUGGAAUAGGACCUCGGUUCUAUUUUGUUGGUUUUCGGAACUCGAGGUAAUGAUUAAGAGGGACAGACGGGGGCAUUCGUAUUACGGUGUUAGAGGUGAAAUUCUUGGAUCGCCGUAAGACGAACUACUGCGAAAGCAUUUGCCAAGAAUGUUUUCAUUAAUCAAGAACGAGAGUCAGAGGUUCGAAGACGAUCAGAUACCGUCGUAGUUCUGACCAUAAACGAUGCCAACUGGCGAUCCGCGGGCGUUGAUCUAAUGACCCCGCGGGCAGCCUCCGGGAAACCAAAGUUUUUGGGUUCCGGGGGAAGUAUGGUUGCAAAGCUGAAACUUAAAGGAAUUGACGGAAGGGCACCACCAGGAGUGGAGCCUGCGGCUUAAUUUGACCCAACACGGGAAAACUCACCCGGCCCGGACACCGUAAGGAUUGACAGAUUGAGAGCUCUUUCUUGAUUCGGUGGGUGGUGGUGCAUGGCCGUUCUUAGUUGGUGGAGCGAUUUGUCUGGUUAAUUCCGAUAACGAACGAGACUCUAGCCUGCUAAAUAGUUCACCGAUUCACCGAGUCGGUGUUAACUUCUUAGAGGGACAAGUGGCGUUUAGCCACACGAGAU